UUUACCUACGGGGGGCAGCAGUGAGGAAUAUUGGUCAAUGGACGAGAGUCUGAACCAGCCAAGUAGCGUGAAGGAUGACUGCCCUAUGGGUUGUAAACUUCUUUUAUAUGGGAAUAAAGUUUUCCACGUGUGGAAUUUUGUAUGUACCAUAUGAAUAAGGCUUGGCUAACUCCGUGCCAGCAGCCGUGGUAAUACGGAGGAUUCGAGCGUUAUCCGGAUUUAUUGGGUUUAAAGGG
rnacentral:rRNA from 1 species